rnacentral:rRNA from 1 species
GAUGAACGCUGGCGGCGUGCUUAACACAUGCAAGUCGAACGGAAAGGCCCAAGCUUGCUUGCGUACUCGAGUGGCGAACGGGUGAGUAACACGUGGGUGAUCUGCCCUGCACUUCGGGAUAAGCCUGGGAAACUGGGUCUAAUACCGGAUAGGACGAUGUUUUGGAUGCCAUUGUGGAAAGUUUUUUCGGUGUGGGAUGAGCUCGCGGCCUAUCAGCUUGUUGGUGGGGUAAUGGCCUACCAAGGCGUCGACGGGUAGCCGGCCUGAGAGGGUGUACGGCCACAUUGGGACUGAGAGACGGCCCAGACUACUACGGGAGGCAGAAGUGGGGAAUAUUGCACAAUGGGAGCAAGCCUGAUGCAGGGACGCCGCGUGGGGGAUGACGGCCUUCGGGUUGUAAACUCCUUUCGCUAGGGACGAAGCGUUUUUGUGACGGUACCUGGAGAAGAAGCACCGGCUAACUACGUG